UAGGCAGUGACAUUGCUAAAUACCUACUGAUGCCAAACCACCAGAAGCUCUGAGCAGUCUUCAGCAUGACGGUGAAGGUGCACAUUGAAUAUUGCAAUGGAUGAGGGUACGCCUCCCGCUAUCGGGACUUGGCCUUUGAGAUAAAGCAGGCUGUGCCCGAUGCGGUUGUGACUGGGAGGACUGGACGCCCGUCCAGCUUUGAAGUCACUUUAAAUGGCAAACUCAUCUACUCUAAACUGCAGACUCAUGGAUUUCCAGAUACAAAAGAGG